rnacentral:rRNA from 1 species
GUACCAGACUCCUACGGGAGGCAGCAGUGGGGAAUAUUGCACAAUGGGGGGAACCCUGAUGCAGCGACGCCGCGUGGGUGAAGGAGUAUUUCGGUAUGUAAAGCCCUAUCAGCAGGGAAGAACAAUGACGGUACCUGACUAAGAAGCACCGGCUAAAUACGUGCCAGCAGCCGCGGUAAUACGUAUGGUGCAAGCGUUAUCCGGAUUCACUGGGUGUAAAGGGAGCGUAGACGGCCAUGCAAGCCAGGGGUGAAAGCCCGGGGCCCAACCCCGGGACUGCCCUUGGAACUGCAUGGCUGGAGUGCGGGAGGGGCAGGCGGAAUUCCUGGUGUAGCGGUGAAAUGCGUAGAUAUCAGGAGGAACACCGGCGGCGAAGGCGGCCUGCUGGACCGCGACUGACGUUGAGGCUCGAAAGCGUGGGGAGCGAACAGGAUUAGAUACCCGUGUAU